ensembl:misc_RNA Metazoa_SRP Metazoan signal recognition particle RNA
GCCGGGCGAGGUGGCGCGUGCCUGUAAUCCCAGCUACUUGGGAGGCUGAGGCAGGAGAAUUGCUUGAACCCAGGAGGCAGAGGUUGCAGUGAGCCAAGAUCGCACCACUGCACUCCAACCUGGGUGACAGAGCGAGAUUCUGUCUCAA